AUUACUCCUACGGGAGGCAGCAGUGGGGAAUAUUGGACAAUGGGCGAAAGCCUGAUCCAGCCAUGCCGCGUGAGUGAUGAAGGCCCUAGGGUUGUAAAGCUCUUUCACCGGUGAAGAUAAUGACGGUAACCGGAGAAGAAGCCCCGGCUAACUUCGUGCCAGCAGCCGCGGUAAUAAU
rnacentral:rRNA from 1 species